UAUUUUCCUUGCCUUACCUAGCCACAGGUCAAUGACGCGCCAAAUACAUACGUCAUCCGCCAGACACUCCCCGAAGCCAGCGAGGAUGGCUGCGCGCGCGUUUGAGCGCUCGCGCGUGGCGACCCGUCUGUCUCCUUCUUUUUUUUUCUUUUUUAACUGUAACCUGGUUUGUUGGGCUCUCGGCGUAUCCUUGCGUUCCUUCUGCACUGGGACAAGACACCACUGCACUAUUGGAAUACGGCAAGCUGGUGCCGUCUGGUGGAGCUUCAUACAGGAACUACUGCCUUACCUGCUGGUGUCACAACGUUGGAUGAACGCACAAAAAGCGCGGAACGAGCUUUUAUAUAGAGCAAAAUAAAUAUUUCCUCAUUGCACAAAA